UACGUAGGGUGCAAGCGUUGUCCGGAAUUAUUGGGCGUAAAGAGCGUGUAGGCGGCUUGAUUAGUCUGCUGUGAAAGUCCAGGGCUCAACCCUGGAAUGCCGGUGGAUACUGUCAAGCUAGAGUCCGGAAGGGGCGAGUGGAAUUCCUGGUGUAGCGGUGAAAUGCGCAGAUAUCAGGAGGAACACCGGUGGCGAAGGCGGGUCUCUGGGCCGUAACUGACGCUGAGGAGCGAAAGCGUGGGGAGCGAACAGG
rnacentral:rRNA from 1 species